rnacentral:rRNA from 1 species
GACGAACCGUGCGAACGUUAUUCGGAAUCACUGGGCUUAAAGCGUGUGUAGGCGGGCGGGCAAGUACCUUGUGAAAUCCCACGGCUCAACCGUGGAACUGCUGGGUAUACUGCCUGUCUUGAGCCAGCCAGGGGCAGUCGGAACAGACGGUGGAGCGGUGAAAUGCGUAGAUAUCGUCUGGAACGCCAAAGGUGAAAACAGACUGCUGGGGCUGUGCUGACGCUGAGACACGAAAGCCAGGGGAGCGAACAGG